rnacentral:rRNA from 1 species
AUUGAACGCUGGCGGCAGGCCUAACACAUGCAAGUCGAGCGGAUGAAGGGAGCUUGCUCCUGGAUUCAGCGGCGGACGGGUGAGUAAUGCCUAGGAAUCUGCCUGGUAGUGGGGGAUAACGUCCGGAAACGGGCGCUAAUACCGCAUACGUCCUGAGGGAGAAAGUGGGGGAUCUUCGGACCUCACGCUAUCAGAUGAGCCUAGGUCGGAUUAGCUAGUUGGUUGGGUAAAGGCCUACCAAGGCGACGAUCCGUAACUGGUCUGAGAGGAUGAUCAGUCACACUAGAACUGAGACACGGUCCAGACUCCUACGGGAGGCAGCAGUGGGGAAUAUUGGACAAUGGGCGAAAGCCUGAUCCAGCCAUGCCGCGUGUGUGAAGAAGGUCUUCGGAUUGUAAAGCACUUUAAGUUGGGAGGAAGGGCAGUAAGUUAAUACCUUGCUGUUUUGACGUUACCAACAGAAUAAGCACCGGCUAACUUCGUG